UGGGGAAUAUUGGACAAUGGGCGAAAGCCUGAUCCAGCCAUGUCGCGUGUGUGAAGAAGGUCUUCGGAUUGUACAGCACUUUAAGUUGGGAGGAAGGGCAGUAAGCGAAUACCUUGCUGUUUUGACGUUACCGACAGAAUAAGCACCGGCUAACUCUGUGCCAGCAGCCGCGGUAAUACAGAGGGUGCAAGCGUUAAUCGGAAUUACUGGGCGUAAAGCGCGCGUAGGUGGUUCGUUAAGUUGAAUGUGAAAGCCCCGGGCUCAACCUGGGAACUGCAUCCAAAACUGGCGAGCUAGAGUAGGGCAGAGGGUGGUGGAAUUUCCUGUGUAGCGGUGAAAUGCGUAGAUAUAGGAAGGAACACCAGUGGCGAAGGCGACCACCUGGGCUCAUACUGCCACUGAGGUGCGAAAGCGUGGGGAGCAAACAGG
rnacentral:rRNA from 1 species